CAAUAUUUUUCCUGAUUCAACAUCCGAACUUUGGCGAACUUUCUCGAAGCAGGCUCCGUCUCCUCUAUAAAACCGGGAGGCGCAGACCGGAGACCGUGUCGGGGCGGCGCGGAUCCAUCGGUAGGUCGGGGAGCAGCUCUUCCAUCCCGCGGCGGGCGGAGCGCGGACGGCGGACGGACCAAAUGUUGCCGUCCAUGACGCAAAGAUGUUUCCAUAGUUGAAGUAAAUAUUCAGACGCAGACGGGAUCCGCCUGCUAACCGUUUCCGUUACGCUCAGCUGAAGGUUUGGAUAAACCGGGACAGACACGGACACGUUAACGGGAGUUAUCCCUGUGAUGAAGAAAAACAGCAACUGAAUAGAAACGUGUCUUUUGGAGUGAAAUGAGUCAUUUUAGUCAAAAUGUAGUAGUUAGAGUUUAAAUUUAAAGGAAACUUAUUUAAAUAUCAGCUACGAUAUCGAAAAAACCUGUAAAAUGAACCUCUGUAAUGGUGUAUUUAAGCAUCACGUGUAGGUGUUUUUAUGGUGAUCGUGACAGUUUAUUAUUAUAAAUACUGCUGCUGUUAAAAAAACAAAAACAAAGGUAGGUCUGAGCUGCUGCUGGGUAAAGAGGGCGUGGUCACGGGAGGGCUGCUCUGAGGAAGUGGGUGGAGUCAAAUGAGAAUGUUCCAGAUGGAUCAAGAAUGUGGUGUGUCGAAAAAAUACGAGCAUGACUUAAAAAAAUAAAAAAAAAUCACAACACUGUAAACCUUUGAUCAUAUAAGAAUGUGGUGUCAAAGUCGAUAGAUUUAUUAAUUCAUAUUUGAAUGAUUCUCAAUAUGUCAUUUGAAUUUUUUUUUUUCAAAUAUUCUCUGAAAAUACCCAGACAAAAUUUUUUUCUUGACAUUUGUGGACAUAAUUUCUGAAGCAGUUUUGAACUGUCAAGACUUGAAUCCCCCCGCCCCCCCCCAAAAAGGUAACACGUGUCAAACGCUAUGUCAUUUUGUAUUUAUUAAAUAAGUGUUAAUUUUGAUAAACAUUUUAAUAUUUCGGUUUAAAGUGAUUGGAGAAAAAACAAGAAAGUGUGCAUGGUUAAGUCGGUAGAGUGGUUCAAAAAAAGGGGGCGGAGUCAGUUCAGGGCAGACUUGGAAUGUUCUAGAUUGAUCUAAAGAGGUGGUUGUGAUGCACUGAAACCCUAAAGAUACUUGAAGUUCAUGUUGUGUAAACUGGUAAUGAAUUAGAAGCUUCUUAAAACAAAUGUACGUUUUUUAUUUUUAGUAUUAGAACAGCAGAUUUAAAUGUAAAUCAAACGUUAAAGUGGUUUAUUUAUGUUGAGAUUAACUGGAGCAGGAAAACUAAAUGGUUCAUAUUUGUUAAAAUCUUCAAUAAUGUGUAUUAAUAAUGUCAUAAAUAUCAAACUAUGAUUUGGUUUUUCAGGUGACGCUCUGAGCUGCUAAUGUUUCGUAACAGUGGAUAUAAUAUUUAUUUCAUGUAUAAACUCGCAUGUUUACUGAAGUGUUUGUGUCUCUACAAAUAAAUAAUUCCUAUUUAUUCCUAAA